rnacentral:rRNA from 1 species
UGGGGAAUAUUGGGCAAUGGGCGAAAGCCUGACCCAGCAACGCCGCGUGAUUGAAGAAGGUCUUCGGAUUGUAAAGCUCUGUCCUUGGGGACGAAAAAAAUGACGGUACCCAAGGAGGAAGCCCCGGCUAACUACGUGCCAGCAGCCGCGGUAAUACGUAGGGGGCGAGCGUUGUCCGGAAUUACUGGGCGUAAAGGGUGCGCAGGCGGUUUUUUAAGUCAGAUGUGAAAUACCCGGGCUUAACCUGGGGGGUGCAUUUGAAACUGGAAGACUUGAGUGCAGGAGGGGAAAGUGGAAUUCCUGGUGUAGCGGUGAAAUGCGUAGAUAUUAGGAGGAACACCAGUGGCGAAGGCGACUUUCUGGACUGUAACUGACGCUGAGGCACGAAAGCGUGGGGAGCAAACA